GACGAAGGAUGCAAGCGUUAUCCGGAUUCAUUGGGUUUAAAGGGAGCGUAGGUGGCCUUAUAAGUCAGCGGUGAAAUCGCCCGGCUCAACUGGGCGGGGUCAGCGGAUACGGUGUGGCUCGAGCAAGCUAGGGGGCAAUGGAAUUCCCGGUGUAGUGGUGGAAUGCGUAGAUAUCGGGAGGAACACCAGUGGCGAAGGCGGUUGCCUGGAGCUUUGCUGACGCUGAGGCGCGAAAGCGUGGGGAGCGAACAGG
rnacentral:rRNA from 1 species